UACGGGAGGCAGCAGUGGGGAAUAUUGCACAAUGGGCGCAAGCCUGAUGCAGCCAUGCCGCGUGUAUGAAAAAGGCCUUCGGGUUGUAAAGUACUUUCAGUCGUGAGGAAGGUGUUAAGGUUAAUAACCUUAGCAAUUGACGUUAGCGACAGAAGAAGCACCGGCUAACUCCGUGCCAGCAGCCGCGGUAAUACGGAGGGUGCGAGCGUUAAUCGGAAUUACUGGGCGUAAGGGCACGCAGGCGGUUAAUUAAGUUGGAUGUGAAAUCCCCGGGCUUAACCUGGGAAUGGCAUUCAAGACUGGUUAGCUAGAGUCUUGUAGAGGGGGUAGAAUUCCAUGUGUAGCGGUGAAAUGCGUAGAGAUGUGGAGGAAUACCGGUGGCGAAGGCGGCCCCUGGACAAAGACUGACGCUCAUGUGCGAAAGCGUGGGGAGCGAAACAGGGAUUAGAUACC
rnacentral:rRNA from 1 species